rnacentral:rRNA from 1 species
GAGUUUUCCCCUUCGGGGGACAGAGUGACAGGUGGUGCAUGGUUGUCGUCAGCUCGUGUCGUGAGAUGUUGGGUUAAGUCCCGCAACGAGCGCAACCCUUAAGCUUAGUUGCCAUCAUUAAGUUGGGCACUCUAAGUUGACUGCCGGUGACAAACCGGAGGAAGGUGGGGAUGACGUCAAAUCAUCAUGCCCCUUAUGAUUUGGGCUACACACGUGCUACAAUGGACAAUACAAAGGGUAGCGAAACCGCGAGGUCAAGCAAAUCCCAUAAAGUUGUUCUCAGUUCGGAUUGUAGUCUGCAACUCGACUACAUGAAGCUGGAAUCGCUAGUAAUCGUAGAUCAGCAUGCUACGGUGAAUACGUUCCCGGGCCUU